rnacentral:tRNA from 1 species
GCGGGUGUAGCUCAAUGGUAGAGCCCCAGCCUUCCAAGCUGGUUGCGCGGGUUCGAUUCCCGUCACCCGCU